CUUUUUCGUACAGUAUGUCUGUCAGCCUACAAGAGGGAAAUCAAUUUUUGAUCAGGUGCUAUGUAAUGAUUCUGACUGAAUUUGCGACAUAGAGGAGCUCUCUGAGCUACACCUGGUCAACCCCCUCUGAUGGCUCAAGUUACAGCUCCAGCAAGCACCCGGGGCACAUGACAACAGACCGCACUCAUUUAUAGCUGGUAUGUGAGAGCUACAUUUCCAAGAAGAUGGUGUCCUUUGGGUUCAAAGCACUAUUGGACAUGAUACAUCAAUCAAUAACCAGAAACAACUCCCAUGAUGACCUUUCCCUCCGUUUCCACACAAGAUCAUCCGAAGGACCAUCUGUUACCAUUAUUCCUGGACUGUAUUUGGAAUGAAUGUAAAGACCACAUGCCUGCAUCAUUCAUCUUGAUCGUGCAAUGACUCCCUGGAGGACUGGCCAGCCACCCUAUCACACACUUUAAUCAAAUGCACUCAGAGCUCUGUGACAGCGCUCUGUCAAUGGCAGAGAAUCCUCCCGCCCCUCUAUUGGCACAUAAUUGCUCCUUCUGCUCCUUUCCACCUUCCCACAUGCGUCUCUGCGCCACAUCAAGUCUUUCUUUGAAUCUUGUUGCACAAACAUGAAAACUUGAAUUGAAAGUAGUUUCACUAGUUUGAGCUUUUCAUGUCCUUGUGUCAAAAAUAUCUUGAAUUAUUUCUGAAUACCUUAACAUAUUUUUAAGGCAUUGCCAUUGCCAGAAAUUAUUUCUGAACACCUCAAGAUAUUUUCUGGCAUUGACAUUCCCAGAAACUAUUUAUAAAUAUGUCAACAUGUUUUUAAGGCAUUGACAUUGCCAGACAUGUUGAUUGUUUGCCUCUCUUCCACAUAAUGCUGAAAGUUUUCUUAUUUGGACCAAAAUAACCAUACUGUAACUAAUGAGGGAAGAGCUUCUUUUGAGAACAGGGCAUAUCAGUGCCAAGAAUUUCUUCAGUACCUGCACCUCAACAGUGAGUCAGUAUUCACCAGCUCAGAAAUGGCUCUCACUGCAGUCUGCGAUUGCAGAUAAUCAACAGCUGCUUAUUUGGGGAAGGUUCCUUUUCUAAAUUGGACCUGACUCAGACAAAUCGCCAUAUUUCUUGGUGACAGACUAAUGGGUUAACAAGGCUGAAAGCUCUUCAUUUCCUGAAACUUUCUGCCGAUGCUUUUAAUGAUUGCGCAUGUCUAUUUUCAAAAAAAGCUAAACCCAGUCUGUAUUUGCAGAAACACUGUUUGACCUAUGUUGUUUUUGAAAAGCAAUGAGAGAUGUGGGUGCUGAAAUGAAUUCUGCUGGCUAACAACAGAAACCCAUGGAGGACGGA